rnacentral:snRNA from 1 species
AUCGUGGUCUGCAGCACGC